rnacentral:rRNA from 1 species
CAAUAGCGUAUAUUAAAGUUGUUGCGGUUAAAAAGCUCGUAGUUGGAUUUCUGCUGAGAACGACCGGUCCGCCCUCUGGGUGUGUAUCUGGCUCUUUCUUGGCAUCUUCUUGGUGAACGUUGCUGCACUUGACUGUGUGGAGCGCUACCCAGGACUUUUACUUUGAGGAAAUUAGAGUGUUUCAAGCAGGCAUACGCCUUGAAUACAUUAGCAUGGAAUAAUAAGAUAGGACCUCGGUUCUAUUUUGUUGGUUUCUAGAGCUGAGGUAAUGAUUAAUAGGGAUAGUUGGGGGCAUUCGUAUUUAACUGUCAGAGGUGAAAUUCUGGGAUUUGUUAAAGACGGACUACUGCGAAAGCAUUUGCCAAGGAUGUUUUCAUUGA